rnacentral:rRNA from 1 species
UACAGAGGGGGCAAGCGUUAUUCGGAAUUAUUGGGCGUAAAGGGCGCGUAGGCGGUUCGUACAGUCAGACGUGAAAUUCCUGGGCUCAACCUGGGGGCUGCGUUUGAUACGUGCGGACUUGAGUGCGGAAGAGGGUCGUGGAAUUCCCAGUGUAGAGGUGAAAUUCGUAGAUAUUGGGAAGAACACCGGUGGCGAAGGCGGCGACCUGGUCCGAUACUGACGCUGAGGCGCGAAAGCGUGGGGAGCAAACAGG